rnacentral:rRNA from 1 species
GAUGAACGCUGGCGGCGUGCCUAAUACAUGCAAGUCGAGCGAACGGACGAGAAGCUUGCUUUUCUGAUGUUAGCGGCGGACGGGUGAGUAACACGUGGAUAACCUACCUAUAAGACUGGGAUAACUUCGGGAAACCGGAGCUAAUACCGGAUAAUAUUUUGAACCGCAUGGUUCAAAAGUGAAAGACGGUCUUGCUGUCACUUAUAGAUGGAUCCGCGCUGCAUUAGCUAGUUGGUAAGGUAACGGCUUACCAAGGCAACGAUGCAUAGCCGACCUGAGAGGGUGAUCGGCCACACUGGAACUGAGACACGGUCCAGACUCCUACGGGAGGCAGCAGUAGGGAAUCGUCCGCAAUGGGCGAAAGCCUGACGGAGCAACGCCGCGUGAGUGAUGAAGGUCGUCGGAUCGUAAAACUCUGUUAUUAGGGAAGAACAUAUGUGUAAGUAACUGUGCACAUCUUGACGGUACCUAAUCAGAAAGCCACGGCUAACUAC